GCAUAUCAAUAAGCGGAGGAAAAGRAACCAACAGGGAUUACCUUAGUAACGGCGAGUGAAGCGGUAACAGCUCAAAUUUGAAAUCUGGUCCCCUCUGGGGGCCCGAGUUGUAAUUUGAAGAGGAUGCUUUUGGCGAGGCGCCUUCCGAGUGCCCUGGAACGGGACGCCACAGAGGGUGAGAGCCCCGUAUGGUAGGACGCCGAGCCUCUGUAAAGCUCCUUCGACGAGUCGAGUAGUUUGGGAAUGCUGCUCAAAAUGGGAGGUAAACCCCUUCUAAAGCUAAAUAUUGGCCAGAGACCGAUAGCGCACAAGUAGAGUGAUCGAAAGAUGAAAAGCACUUUGAAAAGAGAGUUAAACAGCACGUGAAAUUGUUGAAAGGGAAGCGCUUGCGACCAGACUUGCGCCCGUCGGAUCAACCGUCCCUCGUGGGCGGCGCACUCCGGCGGGCUCAGGCCAGCAUCAGUUUUCCCGGGGGGAGAAAGGCGGUGGGAAUGUGGCUCUUCGGAGUGUUAUAGCCCUCCGCGUAAUGCCCCCGGGGGGACUGAGGACCGCGCGUAAGCAAGGAUGCUGGCGUAAUGGUCGUCAGCGACCCGUCUUGAAACACGGACCAAGGAGUCGUCCUAAUAUGCGAGUGUACGGGUGUAAAACCCCUGCGCGUAAUGAAAGUGAACGGAGGUGAGAGCUUCGGCGCAUCAUCGACCGAUCCUGAUGUUCUCGGAUGGAUUUGAGUAAGAGCAUAUUGGGCCGGACCCGAAAGAAGGUGAACUAUGCCUGUAUAGGGUGAAGCCAGAGGAAACUCUGGUGGAGGCUCGCAGCGGUUCUGACGUGCAAAUCGAUCGUCAAAUAUGGGCAUGGGGGCGAAAGACUAAUCGA
rnacentral:rRNA from 1 species